rnacentral:rRNA from 1 species
CAUACCCAACAGCUAGCCCCCUCACCCAAAAACAACAAACCCCAUUAAUAAACCCUCAGGCACAACCUCCCGCAUAUAAAUAAAUCAUUCUCCCUCCUUAGUA